rnacentral:sRNA from 1 species
ACUGAGAGCCAGUCUAGGAGCUCUUCCAGGAAGGAAGGCUGGGAACGAGGGGUCCAGCCACGGGCCAUACUGAUUUGGUCCAGAAGAGCUGGCUAUGCGGUAGCGUCACGGGCCUGAGCGUUGAGAAGAGUCUCGCGUCCCAGGAAACGGUCGCUUACUGGAGGCUGAAUGGGUGUCCCCAUGGAAGUUGAAUGUGGGGACAGAGGUGGAACUGCACUUAAAGGUGUGAGGGAUCCUUUGCCUCGGGGCUGUAUCCCACGGUGUUCGUGUUACUACAAGCAGUGCACAUGCCCUGAGGGGCAUGCAGGCCUUGCCAGAAAUGCCUAGGAAGUCCUUAGAGAAACUCAAGGCAGCCCUUAUUUGACAACGACCUGGCUUUGAACAAUAAACUUAUCAAAAACUCGGCUUGGAAAUCCAGGAGAAGACCCAAUUUUAUGCUAAAAAGAAAAAAGAAAGAAAUGCUAUAAUUGAAAUGUAAAAAACAAUUGCCAACCACCAAAGAGCAAGAGCAGGGAAGCAGGCAGAGUUGAUAGCGGGGAACCAGGACCAGGGAAGAGGUGAUCUUAUCAUGUCGCAGUACCUACAGCAUCCAGCCAGGAGCAGAGCAGCCCUGGGAAGGGAGCCCUCCCUGCGGAGAACAGCUUCACAGAGGGUAACACCUCCUCAAGAUGUCUCCCAAAAUAGUUACAUGUGCUCAGGAUGAAUGAGUCAUUCACGUUUGCAUUUUUUAUGCAAGUUCUUCAAGGACACCCAUCAAAAGUUGAGCUACGAAAGAAAACCAAUGAAAUGUUUUAAAACAACAGAACUGCACACAGUAUGCAUAUGGCGAAACAUGGAUGUGUGAAUGUGAACAACUGUUUCAGAUGCCAUAUGAAGACUAAAAAGAAAAAUCAGAAAUGCUCAGAUUUAUCUUACACUGGGAACACAAAACAUUGCUAUAAAAUCUUGGAUGGUCCUUAAAAAAUGAGUUUUUAAUCUUUACUUUUUCUGGGAGGUAAUGAAAGUGUAUUAACAAAGGGAGUGCUUGAGUGAAGGGUGGACGGCCAAGAGAAAGUGCUAAGGUGGGUUUAAGAACCCUUUUCAGUGGGGGCUAGGAUGCGGUGGGUUUCUUUCCACAAGCUAUUCAGAUUCCAUUUUGGAAAUGAGGUGGGACAACUAAUUUAGUACCUUCCCUGAACUCAAAUUGUUAUAAAGGGAUUUGUACCCUCAACUGAAAGAUGGACAGUCCUACAAAAUAAACAUGGAGUUGUAAA